UACGUAGGGUGCGAGCGUUAAUCGGAAUCACUGGGCUUAAAGCGUGUGUAGGCGGACCGUUAAGUACCUUGUGAAAUCCCACGGCUCAACCGUGGAACGGCUGGGUAUACUGGCGGUCUUGGGCCACCUAGGGGUCAUCGGAACAGGCGGUGGAGCGGUGAAAUGCGUAGAUAUCGCCUGGAACGCCGACGGUGAAAACAGAUGACUGGGGGUGUGCCGACGCUGAGACACGAAAGCCAGGGGAGCGAACGGG
rnacentral:rRNA from 1 species